AACGAACGCUGGCGGCGUGCCUAACACAUGCAAGUCGAGGGAGAAAGCCCGCAAGGGUGAGUAAACCGGCGAACGGGUGCGUAACACGUGGAUAAUCUACCUUCCUGACUGGGACAACUGGCCGAAAGGCUUGCUAAUACCAGAUAAGCCCACGGCGUCUUUGGACGCUGAGGGAAAAGGUGGCCUCUGCAUGCAAGCUAUCGCAGGGAGAUGAGUCCGCGGCCCANCAGCUAGUUGGCGGGGUAAAAGCCCACCAAGGCUACGACGGGUAGCUGGUCUGAGAGGAUGAUCAGCCACACUGGAACUGAGACACGGUCCAGCUCCUACGGGAGGCAGCAGUGGGAAUCUUGCGCAAUGGGCGAAAGCCUGACGCAGCAACGCCGCGUGUGUGNUGAAGGUCUUCGGAUCGUAAAGCACUGUCGCGA
rnacentral:rRNA from 1 species